AAAGGAAAAAAGAAAAUAUGAAUGGAGUAAAUAACAGUAGAGGACCUUCCAUGUCCAUUAAUUUCUCUCCUGAACAUCUUUAAAGACAAGCACGAAAUAUAGGAGUGUAACAUUUAUUACAACAAAGAAUUGCCCUUUUUAAAACCCACCUACCCCCACCCCUACGGGUUUCCGUUUACCUGCAUACGGGUAAAUAUUCAUUUUUGGAGCUGGAUUUCCGGGCGUCUUCAUCGUGUCAUCCGACUAGAAAUAUCCAUGGGACCCACUAUCUUCAUUGCUAUGUAGAUUGCCAUGUCCCUCAUUUUCCCCUUCUCUUCUAAAUAAAAUCAAGUUAAUGCGACCUUCGAAAAGAAACAAAGUUCACUGAGUUCCCAGUUCUACAAUCGAUUGUCCAACAAUACCAAAAAGACUUUGACGUAUUACUCAGUAGAGAAGUGCUCAAUUCAAUGAUAAAGAGCAUUGAUUGAGUACUUUAGGUAUAAUAUGUUAUUAGACCAUGCUCUCAAGGCCAUUUAGACAAAAUUUUCCAUGGUUACACGUGAGAGAACGUUUUGAAAACUAAUUAAAUCAUGCAUAUGGGACCCUAUAUUUAAAUUUUUAUAUCAAGUAGUUCGACAGAAUAAACUUAUGCUUCAAGAGAAAUCGAUAUAAUUUUCAAACAAUAUGCUCGAUAGACAUAAAUCAAUAGUAAAUUUUCUUUUUAAUAUAUUUAAUUCAUUACAACGUCCCUUGCAAGAAUACAAACACAAAUUGAGAUGUAUUACGCAUAUACAGUACAAAUUUGACAUACAUACUUCUGCGUACGUUGUUCGAAAUUAAAAAGAUGCCAUGUUUGUCCAAAAAAUAAAUGCGACAAUAUGACAUUUCACAUCCACUCAGUCCCCUCUUUAAGAUUUGGUUAGAAACCUCAGGUUCAAUGUAUGAAAAAAUGUAUAAUAUGGGCUCGUUUGGCAUGACUUAUAAAAAGUCAAAAUGAGCUUUUGAGUUAAAUUCAUCUGGUAAAUUUUAUGAAGGUGUUUCUUUUAGAUAGAAAACCUUUUAGAGGAAGAUGAUCUAAUGUGACUCUCCUAAAAACACUUCAAGAAUAAGAAGUCCUUUCGAAAAUUAAUUUUCAAAUAAAAAUUGCGAUAACUUCUUCGAAAAGCUCUUCUACAGAAAACAAAAGUAAAAGCAAAAAUCAUACUCAUAAAGCAACUAGAUUCUUAACAACAAUGAGAAAUCUUGUUAAUUUCAAUAUUUUCUCCCGAUUUUUAACAUUUUCUACUAACCUCGAUUAUAUCUUAGGAAUAAAGCUCCCUUAAUAGACCCAAGAUGUGCAUCUAAUAGCUAGUGUUUU
rnacentral:lncRNA from 1 species